rnacentral:lncRNA from 1 species
UCUACCCUUGUGUGUUCCCCCUACAACUUUUUCUUUCCAAAUCUGAGUGGACAGUUCAGGUGUCAAUUGAACCGAACUAUCUAGAUUCUCAGCAACGUACUUAUUAAAGUCAUUCUGCAUAUUAAAUAUAAAUAUUGACAUCAAUAUAUAUACAUAUCAUAAAUAUAUUCAGUAUUGAUAUAUAUUUUUCAUAUUAAAUAACUAACAAAAGUUCGUUCGGCCCUUUCCUCCACCCACACAUCCGGAUCCGNN